rnacentral:lncRNA from 1 species
UUGGCCCAGUAGUUUCAGAGGAGAAGAUUUUUGUAAAAGAUUUCUAAGAUUUACGAAAAAUGGUUAAAAAUUGACUAUAAAGGUCAAUAACUCCUAUAGGGGUCAACUGACCACUUUGGUCAUGUUGACUUAUUUGUAAAUCUAACUUUGCUGAACAUUAUUGCUGUUUACAGUUUAUCUCUAUCUAUAAUAAUAUUCAAGAUAAUAACCAAAAACAGCAAAAAUUCCCUUAAAUUACCAAUUCAGGGGCAGCAACCCUACAACGGGUUGUCGGAUUCAUCUGAAAAUUUGAGGGCAGAAAGAUCUUGACCUGAUAAACAAUUUUUACCCCGUCAGAUUUGCUCUAAAUGCUUUGGUUUUUGAGUUAUAAGCCAAAAACUGCAUUUUACCCCUAUGUUCUAUUUUUAGCCAUGGCGGCCACCUUGGUUGGUUGGGCUGGUCACGCCACACAUUUUUUAAACUAGAUACCCAAUGAUGAUUGUGGCCAAGUUUGGUUUAAUUUGGCCCAAUAGUUUCAGAGGAGAAGAUUUUUGUAAAAGAUUACUAAGAUUUACGAAAAAUGGUUAAAAUUUGACUAUAAAGGGCAAUAACUCCUAAAGGGGUCAACUGACCAUUUCGUUCGUGUUGACAUAUUUGUAAAUCUUACUUUGCUGAACAUUAUUGCUGUAUACAGUUUAUCUCUAUCUAUAAUAAUAUUCAAGAUAAUAACCAAAACAGCAAAAUUUCCUUAAAAACCAAUUCAGGGGCAGCAACCCAACAACAGGUUGUCUGAUUCAUCUGAAAUAUUUCAGGAGAUAGAUCUUGACCUGAUUAACACUUUUAACCAUGUCAGAUUUGCUCUAAAUGCUUUGGUUUUUGAGUUAUAAGCCAAAAACUGCAUUUUACCCCUAUGUUCUAUUUUUAGCCAUGGCAGCCAUCUUGGUUGGUUGGCCAGGUCACGCCACACAUUUUUUAAACUAGAUACCCCAAAGAUGAUUGUGGCCAAGCUUGGAUUAAUUUGGCCCAGUAGUUUCAGAGGAGAAGAUUUUUGUAAAAGAUUUCUAAGAUUUACGAAAAACGGUUAAAAAUUGACUAUAAAGGUCAAUAACUCCUAAAGGGGUCAACUGACCAUUUUAGUCAUGUUGGCUUAUUUGUAAAUCUAACUUUGCUGAACAUUAUUGCUGUUUACAGUUUAUCUCUAUCUAUAAUAAUAUUCAAGAUAAUAACCAAAAACUGCAAAAAAUCCCUAAAAUUACCAAUGCAGGGGCAGCAACCCAACAACGGGUUGUCGGAUUCAUCUGAAAAUUUGAGGGCAGAAAGAUCUUGACCUGAUAAACAAUUUUACCCCAUGUCAGAUUUGCUCUAAAUGCUUUGGUUUUUGAGUUAUAAGCCAAAAACUGCAUUUUACCCCUAUGUUCUAUUUUUAGCCAUGGCGGCCAUCUUGGUUGGUUGGCCGGGUCACGCCACACAUUUUUAGCUCACCUGGCCCAAAGGGCCAAGUGAGCUUUUCUCAGCACUUGGCGUCCGGCGUCCGUCGUCCGUCGUCUGUCGUCGUCGUCUGGCGUCGUUAACUUUUACAAAAAUCUUCUCCUCUGAAACUACUGGGCCAAAUUUAACCAAACUUGGCCACAAUCAUCAUUGGGGUAUCUAGUUUAAAAAAUGUGUCUGGUGACCCGGUCAACCAACCAAGAUGGCCGCCAUGGCUAAAAAUAGAACAUAGGGGUAAAAUGCAGUUUUUGGCUUAUAACUCAAAAACCAAAGCAUUUAGAGCAAAUCUGACAUGGGGUAAAAUUGUUCAUCAGGUCAAGAUCUAUCUGCCCUGAAAUUUUCAGAUGAAUCGGACAACCCGUUGUUGGGUUGCUGCCCUGAAUUGGUAAUUUAAGGAAAUUUUACUGUUUUUGGUUAUUAUCUUGAAUAUUAUUAUAGAUAGAGAUAAACUGUAAACAGCAAUAAUGUUCAGCAAAGUAAGA